UUACGCUGUUAUCCCUAAGGUAAUUUAGUCUUAUAAUCAAUAAUAUUGGAUCAACAAUAAAUCAAUUCAUCCACAAAAAUUCAUAAAGAGUUGUUAUUAUCUUUCAAUCACCCCAACUAAAUAUUAAUUAAAAUUUUUAGUGCCUACUAACAAUUCUUAAUUUCAAUAAAUAUUAAACUCUAUAGGGUCUUCUCGUCCCAAAAAAAAAUUUAAGCUUUUUAACUUAAUAAUUAAAUUCUAAUUAACUUAACUUAAGAUAGUUAUUGUCUCGUCCAACCAUUCAUUCCAGCCUCCAAUUAAAAGACUAUUGAUUAUGCUACCUUUGCACGGUCAUAAUACCGCGGCCAUUUAAAUUAUUCAUUGGGCAGGUCAUACUUCCUAAACUUAUACAGGGAAGAUGUUUUUGUUAAACAGGCG
rnacentral:rRNA from 1 species